GAUGAACGCUGGCGGCGUGCCUAAUACAUGCAAGUCGAGCGAACAGAUGAGGAGCUUGCUCCUCUGACGUUAGCGGCGGACGGGUGAGUAACACGUGGAUAACCUACCUAUAAGACUGGGAUAACUUCGGGAAACCGGAGCUAAUACCGGAUAAUAUAUUGAACCGCAUGGUUCAAUAGUGAAAGACGGUUUUGCUGUCACUUAUAGAUGGAUCCGCGCCGCAUUAGCUAGUUGGUAAGGUAACGGCUUACCAAGGCGACGAUGCGUAGCCGACCUGAGAGGGUGAUCGGCCCCACUGGAACUGAGCCACGGUCCAGACUCCUCCGGGAGGCAGCAGUAGGGAAUCUUCCGCAAUGGGCGAAAGCCUGACGGAGCAACGCCGCGUGAGUGAUGAAGGUCUUCGGAUCGUAAAACUCUGUUAUUAGGGAAGAACAAAUGUGUAAGUAACUAUGCACGUCUUGACGGUACCUAAUCAGAAAGCCACGGCUAACUACGUG
rnacentral:rRNA from 1 species